rnacentral:rRNA from 1 species
UAGCUAGUUGGUGGGGUAAGGGCCUACCAAGGCGACGAUCGGUAGCUGGUCUGAGAGGAUGACCAGCCACACUGGAGCUGAGACACGGUCCAGACUCCUACGGGAGGCAGCAGUGGGGAAUAUUGGACAAUGGGGGCAACCCUGAUCCAGCAAUGCCGCGUGUGUGAAGAAGGCCUGAGGGUUGUAAAGCACUUUCAGUGGGGAGGAGGGUUGAUAGGUUAAGAGCUAAUUAACUGGACGUUACCCACAGAAGAAGCACCGGCUAACUCCGUGCCAGCAGCCGCGGUAAUACGGAGGGUGCGAGCGUUAAUCGGAAUUACUGGGCGUAAAGGGUGCGUAGGUGGUUGAUUAAGUUAUCUGUGAAAUUCCUGGGCUUAACCUGGGACGGUCAGAUAAUACUGGUUGACUCGAGUAUGGGAGAGGGUAGUGGAAUUUCCGGUGUAGCGGUGAAAUGCGUAGAGAUCGGAAGGAACACCAGUGGCGAAGGCGGCUACCUGGCCUAAUACUGACACUGAGGCACGAAAGCGUGGGGAACAAACAGGAUUAGAUACCCUGGUAGUCCACGCUGUAAACGAUGUCAACUAGCUGUUGGUUAUAUGAAAAUAAUUAGUGGCGC